UAUUCUGCCCCAUGGGGAAGGAUGAGAAGCUUCGACUAAGGUUCGACUCGAGCGAAGCGAGAGAACGUUACCGCAGGCAACGGCCCGAAGGGCGAGGAGCGAUAGCGACGAGUUAUCCUUCCCCCACCACCA
rnacentral:sRNA from 1 species